GACGAACGCUUGCGGCGUGCCUAAGAAAUGCAAGUCGAGCGGGGUUUCACGCUGACCAAAGCUUCGGCAGAGGUCUUGUGAAACCUAGCGGCGAACGGUCGCGUAACACGUAAGCAACCUGCCCUGAAGUGUGGGAUAGCCCUCCGAAAGGGGGAGUAAUACCGCAUGUGGAUACGAUGUCGCAUGGCAAUGUAUCUAAAGCAGCAAUGCGCUUCAGGAUGGGCUUGCGGCCUAUCAGCUAGUUGGUGGGGUAACGGCCUACCAAGGCGACGACGGGUAGCUGGUCUGAGAGGAUGGUCAGCCGGAUUGGGACUGAGACACGGCCCAGACUCCUACGGGUGGCAG
rnacentral:rRNA from 1 species